rnacentral:lncRNA from 1 species
GUGCUCUGCAGUUACAUUCCUAUGAGGAGACAGACUUGGUCUCAUGGGUAAAGAGACAUUAUUUUUUUGGAGAAGCAGAACUUCAGUUGACUUCCUCACAAUCAAUGGGAUUGACCAAUCCAACUGUCAAGUCAGCAGGAACAAGAGGAUGGCCACAUCGCAUCUCAGCAACAUGUGCGGUGGCUCCAGAUUUCCCUUUCUGGAAGUUGAAGAGAUUUGUCCCAAUAUUUUCACAGCCCAGAUAAUGACAUAUGAGGUCAAGAUGCUCUCCAAGAACUCUUCCAACCAUGGGCGGGUGCUACAGUGUCUCCCUGGGAAUUUGAAGAAGGCACUGUCUCACCAAGGGUGCUGAUGCUGAUCAUUCUGCAAAGAGAUAAAAAUGUCAAGGAUCACUGGAUUCCACUAUGUUUGAGGGGAAAAGAAGGAACUAUAAACCUAAAUUAUAGCCA